rnacentral:rRNA from 1 species
GACGAACGCUGGCGGCGUGCUUAACACAUGCAAGUCGAACGGAAAGGCCAGGCUCUUGUGGGGUUCUCGAUUGGCGCACGGGUGAGUAACACGUGAGUAAACUGCACUUGACUGACGGAUAAAUUCUGGAAACACGGGCUAUUACAGGGUAGGAGCUACUGCUGCAUGGUGGGGGAUGGAAAGAUGCGGCGGUUGGGGCUCGACUAGCGGCUUAUCAGCUUCUUGGUGGGGUAGUGGCUUUCCAAGCCUUUGAAGGGUAGCCGGCCUGAGAGGGUGACCGGCGACAUGAGGACUGAGAUACGGCGCAGAAGCGAACGGGAGGCAGUAGGGGAGAGUUUUGCGGAAUGGGCGGAAGCGAGAGGCAGCAAUGCCGCGUGCGGGAUGACGGGCUUCGGGGUGUGAACCGCUUUCGCCUGUAACGAAGCGUGAGUGACGGUACUGGGUAAAGAAGCACCGGCUAACUACGUG